AGAAUCAACGCUGGCGGCGUGCCUAACACAUGCAAGUCGAACGAGAAAGGGGAGCAAUCCCUGAGUAAAGUGGCGACCGGGUGAGUAACACGUGACUAACCUACCUUCGAGUGGGGGAUAACUCCGGGAAACCGGGGCUAAUACCGCAUAACAUCCUCGGAUCGGAAGAACUGGGGAUCAAAGGAGCAAUUCGCUUGAAGAGGGAGUCGCGGCUGAUUAGCUAGUUGGCGGGGUAAUGGCCCACCAAGGCGAAGAUCGGUAUCCGGCCUGAGAGGGCGCACGGACACACUGGAACUGAAACACGGUCCAGACUCCUACGGGAGGCAGCAGUGGGGAAUUUUGCGCAAUGGGGGAAACCCUGACGCAGCAACGCCGCGUGGAGGAUGAAGCCCCUUGGGGCGUAAACUCCUUUCGACCAAGACGAUAAUGACGGUACUGGUGGAAGAAGCACCGGCUAACUCUGCGCCAGCAGCCGC
rnacentral:rRNA from 1 species